ACGGGAGGCAGCAGUGAGGAAUAUUGGUCAAUGGAGGCAACUCUGAACCAGCCAUCUCGCGUGAAGGAAUACGGCCCUAUGGGUCUUAAACUUCUUUUAUAGGGGGAUAAAGUGAGGCAUGUAUGCCUUUUUGUAGGUACCCUAUGAAUAAGCAUCGGCUAACUCCGUGCCAGCAGCCGCGGUAAUACGGAGGAUGCGAGCGUUAUCCGGAUUUAUUGGGUUUAAAGGGUGCGCAGGCGGGCCUUUAAGUCAGCGGUGAAAUCCCGUAGCUCAACUACGGAACUGCCGUUGAUACUGGAGGCCUUGAGUCGUGUCGAGGAUGGCGGAAUGCAGCGUGUAGCGGUGAAAUGCUUAGAUAGGCUGCAGAACUACGAUUGCGAAGGCAGCUGUCCAGAGACGAAAUGACGCUGAGGCACGAAAGCAUGGGUACCAAACAGGAUUAGAUACCCUGGUA
rnacentral:rRNA from 1 species